AGCCUCGUUCUAGAUGGAAACAGGCACCGUCGUUGAUGGUGUCCGGAUACCGUGACUGUGGCUACACCGGGACACAGGGGCGCUUCCAUCCCAGCAAGUGUACUGCAGGGGUGACCAUGAGACCCCUAACGGUC
rnacentral:snoRNA from 1 species